GUCCACGCCGUAAACGAUGUCGACUAGCCGUUGGGCCCUUAGUGGGUUUAGUGGCGCAGCUAACGCAUUAAGUCGACCGCCUGGGGAGUACGGCCGCAAGGUUAAAACUCAAAUGAAUUGACGGGGGCCCGCACAAGCGGUGGAGCAUGUGGUUUAAUUCGAUGCAACGCGAAGAACCUUACCUACCCUUGACAUCCAGUGGAUUCGGCAGAGAUGCCUUAGUGCCUUCGGGAACACUGAGACAGGUGCUGCAUGGCUGUCGU
rnacentral:rRNA from 1 species